rnacentral:rRNA from 1 species
GACGAACGCUGGCGGCGUGCCUAACACAUGCAAGUCGAACGAGAAUCAUUUGAACAGAGGCUUCGGCCGACGGAAUUUUGAGGAAAGUGGCGAACGGGUGAGUAACGCGUGAGAAACCUGCCUUUCAGUGGGGGACAACAGUUGGAAACGACUGCUAAUACCGCAUGAUGCAGCUAGAGGGCAUCCUCUUACUGCCAAAGCUUUAUGUGCUGAAAGAUGGUCUCGCGUCUGAUUAGCUAGUUGGUGGGGUAACGGCUCACCAAGGCGACGAUCAGUAGCCGGUCUGAGAGGAUGAACGGCCACAUUGGGACUGAGAUACGGCCCAGACUCCUACGGGAGGCAGCAGUGGGGAAUAUUGGGCAAUGGGGGAAACCCUGACCCAGCAACGCCGCGUGAAGGAAGAAGGCUUUCGGGUUGUAAACUUCUUUUAGUAGGGACGAAGAACGUGACGGUACCUACAGAAAAAGCAACGGCUAACUACGUG